AAACCAAAAACCAUACUCAAGACUCAUUAUGACUAGCUCUAUGAAGAAAAUGAUUCUUAUCAUUUUCAUCACAACCAUGGUUUUAUCUCCGACAAGUUUUAUCUCUUGUCUCGCAGGUAAGUAAACUGCUUAGUUAACUGAUUUAAUUUGAGAAUUUACCUAUCAAUUUAGAGUUUUUUUUAUGUAUCUCUAUUCGCAUAUGAAGAUGUUCAUGCUACUGAAAGUCCCACCGAACCAGCAGCCUCUCACGUUACUGGAGGUGAUAAAGUAGCAUGUCCUGCUUGCCGCUGCUGUGAAGGCCCAAAACCUCCACCGGGAACUUGUUGCCGUUGUUGUUAAAUGUUAAUUAAGCUCAAAAAUCAACUUCCUCGUAAACUUUAGUUAAGCCUCUUAAUUACUAUUAGGGUUCAAUAUCUACUUAUGUUGUUGUAGUGUUGUGUAUUCGUACUUGUCUUGACCAAAUAAAAGUGUAGCUAGCCGCUUAAAUCCAUCCGUUGUUAGGAUGGUGCUUUGGCCAAAGUGAUUCGAAUAUACCUUUUAUACACAAA
rnacentral:misc_RNA from 1 species